rnacentral:rRNA from 1 species
AGGGAUUGCCUCAGUAACGGCGAGUGAAGCGGCAACAGCUCAAAUUUGAAAUCUGGCCCUAGGCCCGAGUUGUAAUUUGCAGAGGAUGCUUUUGGUGCGGUGCCUUCCAAGUUCCCUAGAACGGGACGCCAGAGAGGGUGAGAGCCCCGUACAGUUGGACACCAAGCCUUUGUAAAGCUCCUUCGACGAGUCGAGUAGUUUGGGAAUGCUGCUCAAAAUGGGAGGUAUAUUUCUUCUAAAGCUAAAUACCGGCCAGAGACCGAUAGCGCACAAGUAGAGUGAUCGAAAGAUGAAAAGCACUUUGAAAAGAGGGUUAAACAGCACGUGAAAUUGUUAAAAGGGAAGCGCUUGUGACCAGACUUGCGUCCGGUGAAUCACCCAGCUCUCGCGGCUGGGGCACUUCGCCGGCUCAGGCCAGCAUCAGCUCGCUGUCGGGGACAAAAGCUUCAGGAACGUAGCUCUCUUCGGGGAGUGUUAUAGCCUGUUGCACAAUACCCUUCGGCGGGCUGAGGUACGCGCUCCGCAAGGAUGCUGGCAUAAUGGUCAUCAGCGACCCGUCUUGAAACACGGACCAAGGAGUCAACCUUAUGUGCGAGUGUUCGGGUGUCAAACCCCUACGCGUAAUGAAAGUGAACGCAGGUGAGAGCUUCGGCGCAUCAUCGACCGAUCCUGAUGUUCUCGGAUGGAUUUGAGUAAGAGCAUAUAGGGUUGGACCCGAAAGAAGGUGAACUAUGCGUGUAUAGGGUGAAGCCAGAGGAAACUCUGGUGGAGGCUCGCAGCGGUUCUGACGUGCAAAUCGAUCGUCAAAUAUGCGCAUGGGGGAGAAAGACUAAUCGAACC